rnacentral:rRNA from 1 species
CAGUCGCCACGGUAAUACGUAGGUGGCAAGCGUUGUCCGGAAUUAUUGGGCGUAAAGCGCGCGCAGGCGGUUUCUUAAGUCUGAUGUGAAAGCCCCCGGCUUAACCGGGGAGGGUCAUUGGAAACUGGGAGACUUAGAGUGCAGAAGAGGAGAGUGGAAUUCCAUGUGUAGCGGUGAAAUGCGUAGAUAUAUGGAGGAACACCAGUGGCGAAGGCGACUCUCUGGUCUGUAACUGACGCUGAGGCGCGAAAGCGUGGGGAGCAAACAGGAUUAGAGACCCCCGUAGUCCCUGUCUCUUAUA